UACGGAGGGGGCUAGCGUUGUUCGGAAUUACUGGGCGUAAAGCGCACGUAGGCGGAUCAGCAAGUUAGGGGUGAAAAUCCCGGGGCUCAACCCCGGAACUGCCUUUAAAACUGUUGGUCUGGAGGUCGAGAGAGGUGAGUGGAAAUUUCCGAGUGUAGAGGUGAAAUUCGUAGAUAUUCGGAGGAACACCAGUGGCGAAGGCGACUCACUG
rnacentral:rRNA from 1 species